rnacentral:misc_RNA from 1 species
GGAGAGUGGAAUUCCAUGUGUAGCGGUGAAAUGCGUAGAUAUAUGGAGGAACACCGGUGGCGAAAGCGGCUCUCUGGUCUGUAACUGACGCUGAGGCUCGAAAGCGUGGGGAGCGAACAGGAUUAGAUACCCUGGUAGUCCACGCCGUAAACGAUGAGUGCUAGGUGUUGGGUCCUUUCCGGGACUCAGUGCCGCAGCUAACGCAUUAAGCACUCCGCCUGGGGAGUACGACCGCAAGGUUGAAACUCAAAGGAAUUGACGGGGGCCCGCACAAGCGGUGGAGCAUGUGGUUUAAUUCGAAGCAACGCGAAGAACCUUACCAGGUCUUGACAUCCCGAUGACCGCCCUAGAGAUAGGGUUUCUCUUCGGAGCAUCGGUGACAGGUGGUGCAUGGUUGUCGUCAGCUCGUGUCGUGAGAUGUUGGGUUAAGUCCCGCAACGAGCGCAACCCCUAUUGUUAGUUGCCAUCAUUCAGUUGGGCACUCUAGCGAGACUGCCGGUAAUAAACCGGAGGAAGGUGGGGAUGACGUCAAAUCAUCAUGCCCCUUAUGACCUGGGCUACACACGUGCUACAAUGGCUGGUACAACGAGUCGCAAGUCGGUGACGGCAAGCUAAUCUCUUAAAGCCAGUCUCAGUUCGGAUUGUAGGCUGCAACUCGCCUACAUGAAGUCGGAAUCGCUAGUAAUCGCGGAUCAGCACGCCGCGGUGAAUACGUUCCCGGGCCUUGUACACACCGCCCGUCACACCACGAGAGUUUGUAACACCCGAAGUCGGUGAGGUAACCUUUUAGGAGCCAGCCGCCUAAGGUGGGAUAGAUGAUUGGGGUGAAGUCGUAACAAGGUAGCCGUAUCGGAAGGUGCGGCUGGAUCACCUCCUUUCUAAGGAAAUGGAAACCUGUACGUCAGUCUUCUUUAAUUUUGAGAGGUCUUGUGGGGCCUUAGCUCAGCUGGGAGAGCGCCUGCUUUGCACGCAGGAGGUCAGCGGUUCGAUCCCGCUAGGCUCCAUUAACAACGGAAGUUGUUAAGAUUUUGUCCAUUGAAAAUUGAAUAUCUAUCAAACAUUCCUAAACGUAUGUAAAAGUACGUAUAGAAAUAGUAACAAGAAAAUAAACCGAAAACGCUGUGAAUAUUUAAUGAGUUUUCUAAUUUUUGAAAAAAUUAGGUUAAUAAGGUUAAGUUAAUAAGGGCGCACGGUGGAUGCCUUGGCACUAGAAGCCGAUGAAGGACGUGACUAACGACGAAAUGCCUUGGGGAGCUGUAAGUAAGCAAUGAU